rnacentral:rRNA from 1 species
GGUUAAGCGACUAAGCGUACACGGUGGAUGCCCUGGCAGUCAGAGGCGAUGAAGGACGUGCUAAUCUGCGAAAAGCGUCGGUAAGGUGAUAUGAACCGUUAUAACCGGCGAUGUCCGAAUGGGGAAACCCAGUGUGUUUCGACACACUAUCAUUAACUGAAUCCAUAGGUUAAUGAGGCGAACCGGGGGAACUGAAACAUCUAAGUACCCCGAGGAAAAGAAAUCAACCGAGAUUCCCCCAGUAGCGGCGAGCGAACGGGGAGGAGCCCAGAGCCUGAAUCAGUGUGUGUGUUAGUGGAAGCGUCUGGAAAGGCGCGCGAUACAGGGUGACAGCCCCGUACACAAAAAUGCACAUGCUGUGAGCUCGAAGAGUAGGGCGGGACACGUGGUAUCCUGUCUGAAUAUGGGGGGACCAUCCUCCAAGGCUAAAUACUCCUGACUGACCGAUAGUGAACCAGUACCGUGAGGGAAAGGCGAAAAGAACCCCGGCGAGGGGAGUGAAAAAGAACCUGAAACCGUGUACGUACAAGCAGUGGGAGCCCUGAUUUAUCAGGGUGACUGCGUACCUUUUGUAUAAUGGGUCAGCGACUUAUAUUCUGUAGCAAGGUUAACCGAAUAGGGGAGCCGGAGGGAAACCGAGUCUUAACUGGGCGUUAAGUUGCAGGGUAUAGACCCGAAACCCGGUGAUCUAGCCAUGGGCAGGUUGAAGGUUGGGUAACACUAACUGGAGGACCGAACCGACUAAUGUUGAAAAAUUAGCGGAUGACUUGUGGCUGGGGGUGAAAGGCCAAUCAAACCGGGAGAUAGCUGGUUCUCCCCGAAAGCUAUUUAGGUAGCGCCUCGUGAAUUCAUCUCCGGGGGUAGAGCACUGUUUCGGCAAGGGGGUCAUCCCGACUUACCAACCCGAUGCAAACUGCGAAUACCGGAGAAUGUUAUCACGGGAGACACACGGCGGGUGCUAACGUCCGUCGUGAAGAGGGAAACAACCCAGACCGCCAGCUAAGGUCCCAAAGUCAUGGUUAAGUGGGAAACGAUGUGGGAAGGCCCAGACAGCCAGGAUGUUGGCUUAGAAGCAGCCAUCAUUUAAAGAAAGCGUAAUAGCUCACUGGUCGAGUCGGCCUGCGCGGAAGAUGUAACGGGGCUAAACCAUGCACCGAAGCUGCGGCAGCGACGCUGAUGCGUUGUUGGGUAGGGGAGCGUUCUGUAAGCCUGUGAAGGUGGCCUGUGAGGGUUGCUGGAGGUAUCAGAAGUGCGAAUGUUGACAUAAGUAACGAUAAAGCGGGUGAAAAGCCCGCUCGCCGGAAGACCAAGGGUUCCUGUCCAACGUUAAUCGGGGCAGGGUGAGUCGACCCCUAAGGCGAGGCCGAAAGGCGUAGUCGAUGGGAAACAGGUUAAUAUUCCUGUACUUGGUGUUACUGCGAAGGGGGGACGGAGAAGGCUAUGUUGGCCGGGCGACGGUUGUCCCGGUUUAAGCGUGUAGGCUGGUUUUCCAGGCAAAUCCGGAGAAUCAAGGCUGAGGCGUGAUGACGAGGCACUACGGUGCUGAAGCAACAAAUGCCCUGCUUCCAGGAAAAGCCUCUAAGCAUCAGGUAACAUCAAAUCGUACCCCAAACCGACACAGGUGGUCAGGUAGAGAAUACCAAGGCGCUUGAGAGAACUCGGGUGAAGGAACUAGGCAAAAUGGUGCCGUAACUUCGGGAGAAGGCACGCUGAUGGUAGGUGAAGCGACUUGCUCGUGGAGCUGAAAUCAGUCGAAGAUACCAGCUGGCUGCAACUGUUUAUUAAAAACACAGCACUGUGCAAACACGAAAGUGGACGUAUACGGUGUGACGCCUGCCCGGUGCCGGAAGGUUAAUUGAUGGGGUCAGCGCAAGCGAAGCUCUUGAUCGAAGCCCCGGUAAACGGCGGCCGUAACUAUAACGGUCCUAAGGUAGCGAAAUUCCUUGUCGGGUAAGUUCCGACCUGCACGAAUGGCGUAAUGAUGGCCAGGCUGUCUCCACCCGAGACUCAGUGAAAUUGAACUCGCUGUGAAGAUGCAGUGUACCCGCGGCAAGACGGAAAGACCCCGUGAACCUUUACUAUAGCUUGACACUGAACACUGGUCCUUGAUGUGUAGGAUAGGUGGGAGGCUUUGAAGUGUGGACGCCAGUCUGCAUGGAGCCGUCCUUGAAAUACCACCCUUUAAUGGCUGGUGUUCUAACGUAGGCCCCUUAUCGGGGUUGCGGACAGUGUCUGGUGGGUAGUUUGACUGGGGCGGUCUCCUCCUAAAGAGUAACGGAGGAGCACGAAGGUUGGCUAAUCCUGGUCGGACAUCAGGAGGUUAGUGCAAUGGCAUAAGCCAGCUUGACUGCGAGCGUGACGGCGCGAGCAGGUGCGAAAGCAGGUCAUAGUGAUCCGGUGGUUCUGAAUGGAAGGGCCAUCGCUCAACGGAUAAAAGGUACUCCGGGGAUAACAGGCUGAUACCGCCCAAGAGUUCAUAUCGACGGCGGUGUUUGGCACCUCGAUGUCGGCUCAUCACAUCCUGGGGCUGAAGUAGGUCCCAAGGGUAUGGCUGUUCGCCAUUUAAAGUGGUACGCGAGCUGGGUUUAGAACGUCGUGAGACAGUUCGGUCCCUAUCUGCCGUGGGCGCUGGAGAACUGAGGGGGGCUGCUCCUAGUACGAGAGGACCGGAGUGGACGCAUCACUGGUGUUCGGGUUGUCAUGCCAAUGGCACUGCCCGGUAGCUAAAUGCGGAAGAGAUAAGUGCUGAAAGCAUCUAAGCACGAAACUUGCCCCGAGAUGAGUUCUCCCUGAGACUUAGAGUCUCCUGAAGGAACGUUGAAGACGACGACGUUGAUAGGCCGGGUGUGUAAGCGCAGCGAUGCGUUGAGCUAACCGGUACUAAUGAACCGUGAGGCUUAACCUU